rnacentral:rRNA from 1 species
AACGAGCGCUGGCGGCAUGCCUAACACAUGCAAGUCGAACGAGACCUUCGGGUCUAGUGGCGCACGGGUGCGUAACGCGUGGGAAUCUGCCCUUGGGUUCGGAAUAACAGUUGGAAACGACUGCUAAUACCGGAUGAUGACGUAAGUCCAAAGAUUUAUCGCCCAGGGAUGAGCCCGCGUAGGAUUAGCUAGUUGGUGGGGUAAAGGCCUACCAAGGCGACGAUCCUUAGCUGGUCUGAGAGGAUGAUCAGCCACACUGGGACUGAGACACGGCCCAGACUCCUACGGGAGGCAGCAGUGGGGAAUAUUGGACAAUGGGCGAAAGCCUGAUCAAGCAAUGCCGCGUGAGUGAUGAAGGCCUUAGGGUUGUAAAGCUCUUUUACCCGGGAUGAUAAUGACAGUACCGGGAGAAUAAGCCCCGGCUAACUCCGUG